rnacentral:tRNA from 1 species
GCCCUGAUAGUUCAAUGGAUAGAACAAGGCACUCCUAAGGCUUAGAUGUAGGUUCGAUUCCUACUCAGGGCACAA